rnacentral:rRNA from 1 species
AUUGAACGCUGGCGGCAGGCCUAACACAUGCAAGUCGAGCGGAUGAAGGGAGCUUGCUCCUGGAUUCAGCGGCGGACGGGUGAGUAAUGCCUAGGAAUCUGCCUGGUAGUGGGGGAUAACGUCCGGAAACGGGCGCUAAUACCGCAUACGUCCUGAGGGAGAAAGUGGGGGAUCUUCGGACCUCACGCUGUCAGAUGAGCCUAGGUCGGAUUAGCUAGUUGGUGGGGUAAAGGCCUACCAAGGCGACGAUCCGUAACUGGUCUGAGAGGAUGAUCAGUCACACUGGAACUGAGACACGGUCCAGACUCCUACGGGAGGCAGCAGUGGGGAAUAUUGGACGAUGGGCGAAAGCCUGAUCCAGCCAUGCCGCGUGUGUGAAGAAGGUCUUCGGAUUGUAAAGCACUUUAAGUUGGGAGGAAGGGCAGUAAGUUAAUACCUUGCUGUUUUGACGUUACCAACAGAAUAAGCACCGGCUAACUUCGUG